rnacentral:rRNA from 1 species
UACGUAGGGUGCAAGCGUUAAUCGGAAUUACUGGGCAUAAAGCGUGCGCAGGCGGUUGUGCAAGACAGAUGUGAAAUCCCCGGGCUUAACCUGGGAACUGCAUUUGUGACUGCACGGCUAGAGUGCGGCAGAGGGGGAUGGAAUUCCGCGUGUAGCAGUGAAAUGCGUAGAUAUGCGGAGGAACACCGAUGGCGAAGGCAAUCCCCUGGGCCUGCACUGACGCUCAUGCACGAAAGCGUGGGGAGCAAACAGG